ensembl:lncRNA
GACUCCUCCUAUGAGAUCCCUGUCUUUUUUGAACUGAGGAGCCCAGGACUGGACACCGCUCCAGGACCCCCAGGUCCCCUGCAGAGCUCUCCAGCAGGUCAGCCCCUGACCUCUACUGAUGCAUGCAGUUAUUCCUCCCCAGGUGCAAAUCUCUACACUUAUUAAAUCUCACCAGGUUCUUCCCUGCCCAACUCUCCGUCUGGCCAGGUCAUUGAUGGAGUCAGCUGUCAGAUUCAUAGCAGAUUUUUUUGUCACGUUAAACUGCACCCGCUCCCAAGUUGUCUUUUAGAAGAUGAAAGCAG